AGCACCACAACAGGUGGAGCCUGCGGUUUAAUCGGACUCAACGCCGGGAAACUCACCAGAUAAGACAGCUGAAUGAUAGUCGGGCUGAAGACUCUACUUGACUAGCUGAGAGGAGGUGCAUGGCCGUCGUCAGUUCGUACUGUGAAGCAUCCUGUUAAGUCAGGCAACGAGCGAGACCCACGCCAACAGUUGCCAGCAUGUCCUCCGGGAUGAUGGGGACACUGUUGGGACCGCCUCUGCUAAAGAGGAGGAAGGAAUGGGCAACGGUAGGUCAGCAUGCCCCGAAUUAUCCGGGCUACACGCGGGCUACAAUGGUCAGGACAAUGGGUAUCGACACCGAGAGGUGGAGGCAAUCUCCUAAACCUGUCCUUAGUUCGGAUUGUGGGUUGCAACUCGCCCACAUGAAGCUGGAAUCCGUAGUAAUCGCGUUUCAAAAUAGCGCGGUGAAUAUGUCCCUGCUCCUU
rnacentral:rRNA from 1 species